GACCUGUUUAAAGGAUAGAUGAAUAAGAAUCACUGAGGGGAGGGGAGGUUUUCAGACAAAAUUGCAAUCAAGCUUUUAGGCCAAACACCUACAUCUGAUGAUCUCUCAUGGUUCUCAAAUAUUAUCAUGCACUAGAAUCAGCUGGAGAGCUUGUUAAACCACUGAAUACUGGACCCACCUCCAGAGUUUCUGAUCCUGUAGAUCUGAGGUAGAGUUUUAUAUUUCUGAUGAGACCCCAGGUAACACUGAUGGUGUUAGUUUUGGGUCUAUACCCUGAGAAUCACUAAUUUAGGCUCCAGGUCAACAACUCUUCUAUACUCUUGCUGAGAAAUGUCAAAAAAUUACAGCUGCAGAUGUAUAGGUGGAUGAGAUAACCUCUGAGGAUUCUUCAAACAUGUGAGUCUAUGGUCCAAUAACAUCCUGUAAAUACAAUUUAUUUUUCAGGUUCUCAAAGAUAGCUAUCAUGCUUCCCCAACUUAUUUUUCUCUAAAAGUCCCUAAUACCAUCACUAUUCUUUUUGUGUCACAGGAUUUAAUUCUGUUCAUCACCCUAGUCACUUUCCUACGGAUUCUUUUCAGAUCUCUAUUGUUCCCGUUAAGAAGACAGACCCAGAGCUUGAAACAUAUUCAAGAUGGGAUCUGACUAUUGUAGAGCAACCACAAGAAAUACCCACCUUGUUCCCCAAUUGCCUAUUAAUUUCAUUCAGUAGCCAUAUCAUAUUAUUAGCCUUAUUAUAAAGUUGUUAUUCAUGAAAAGUACAAACAUUCCUCCCUCCUUCUUUCUUUCCUUCCUUCCUUUUCUACUCUUCUUUUCUAUCACACUUCAAGUCUUAAUGCCCAUAUCUUCUCAUCGUAAAAUUGGUUAUAGACGUCUAAGUUUAGGAACUUCCUGGUGGUCCAGUGGCUAAAAUUCCAUGUUACCAGUGCAGGGGGCCCAGGUUCAAUCCCCGUUUGGAGAACCAGAUCCCACAUGCCGCAACCAAGGGCAUGCGUGCUGGAGCCAAGAGUUUGAAUGCUGCAGCUGAAGAUCCUGCAUGGCACAAUUAAGGCUCAGCACAGCCAAACAAAUAAACGAAUAUUUUUUAAAAGCCUAAGUUUAGGAUUUAACAUUUAUCCUUAUUAAAUUUAAUUGUUUUAGCCUUAACCUAUCAAAUUUACCUGUCAUGGCACUCUAAUUUUAAAUGUCCUGUUUGAUAUAAUUAUUGUGACUUGUAAUCUUGUGAGAGCUAAAGAUAUGAUUAAGAUAAUCCUCCUUCACUCAUGCAUUUAUCAAUAGGUAUUUAUAUACCCUACAAUACUACAGUCACUGCUCUAGUCCUAAACAUGAAUAAAACAUUGAUCAGAACAGCGCCAAGGAUGGGGCCCUACUGCACCUACUCCCAGAAAUACUUAGGCUGCUAAUCAACAGUCUGAAGGAUAUGGUUAUUUUAUUCAUUAUCACCUCA
ensembl:lncRNA